rnacentral:rRNA from 1 species
GUGCCAGCCGCCGCGGUAAUACGUAGGUGGCAAGCGUUGUCCGGAUUUAUUGGGCGUAAAGCGAGCGCAGGCGGUUUCUUAAGUCUGAUGUGAAAGCCUUCGACUCAACCGAAGAAGUGCAUCGGAAACUGGGAAACUUGAGUGCAGAAGAGGACAGUGGAACUCCAUGUGUAGCGGUGAAAUGCGUAGAUAUAUGGAAGAACACCAGUGGCGAAGGCGGCUGUCUGGUCUGUAACUGACGCUGAGGCUCGAAAGCAUGGGUAGCAAACAGGAUUAGAUACCCUGGUAGUCCAUGCCGUAAACGAUGAGUGCUAGGUGUUGGAGGGUUUCCGCCCUUCAGUGCCGCAGCUAACGCAUUAAGCACUCCGCCUGGGGAGUACGACCGCAAGGUUGAAACUCAAAGGAAUUGACGGGGGCCCGCACAAGCGGUGGAGCAUGUGGUUUAAUUCGAAGCAACGCGAAGAACCUUACCAGGUCUUGACAUCCUUUGACCACUCUAGAGAUAGAGCUUUCCCUUCGGGGACAAAGUGACAGGUGGUGCAUGGUUGUCGUCAGCUCGUGUCGUGAGAUGUUGGGUUAAGUCCCGCAACGAGCGCAACCCUUAUUACUAGUUGCCAGCAUUAAGUUGGGCACUCUAGUGAGACUGCCGGUGACAAACCGGAGGAAGGUGGGGACGACGUCAAAUCAUCAUGCCCCUUAUGACCUGGGCUACACACGUGCUACAAUGGAUGGUACAACAAGUUGCGAGACCGCGAGGUUUAGCUAAUCUCUUAAAACCAUUCUCAGUUCGGAUUGUAGGCUGCAACUCGCCUACAUGAAGCCGGAAUCGCUAGUAAUCGCGGAUCAGCAUGCCGCGGUGAAUACGUUCCCGGGCCUUGUACACACCGCCCGU